GAAAGCUCUCUGUAUUUAUCAUUUUAAACUUGCUUAAUAAAUAACGUGAUGGAUACGAAUGAUUCAUACGAAUUUUCAAGUGAUCACCCUGUUGUGAGUGAUACAUUUCCGGAAAAUGAGCAAAUAAUGGCGUACGAAAACAUGAUUCAGCCUUACUCAUAUGAACCAUUUGAAACCGACUCGAGUAGCGACGCCGAAGACGAUUCGCAAGGAACGAGUGCUGAGUCAUCAAUUGAAUCUGGCUCAAAUAGACUUCAAGAUAAGUACUGGUGUACAUGCGGUCAUUGUCAAAUAAUGGACAGACAUGAAGAAUGUAUAUGUUGCAAAGAGAUUGCUGCUUGCAGGGAUAUUAAUGAAGAGUCAGCUGAAUUCGAGGGUAUUGAUGUUCCAGAAUGUAUCACUGACAACCCUGUAUUCCAAAAUUUAUGUUUAAAUUACUGGGUAUUGAGAUUGGCGUGGAGUCAAUACAAGCAGCAGUAUGGGAAAAGUGCUUUUGAAGGACCAGAGCAUAAGAGGCAAAGGCAUGUUGCUUACAGACAAUUUGUAAGAUGGUGUUGGGGAAUUUUGGGAAAAGAAAUAAGGAAUCCUUUGCCAUCUUGUGCUGUUUGUUGUAUUCGGGCACAUUUCCCUCCACCUGGUCUAGAAGAAGAUUUUGUAUUUAAAGGUUUUGAAUUUGCUGAUGAGUGAUGCAGUGUUUGAAUUAUGAUCAAUCACAGCCAAUUGGGUUCUUGCAACCAUGCCAUUGUAUGAAAAAUGAAGGCGUUUUGGAACAUAUUUCAAUAGUAAUGAAUGGUACACUUCCAGGUUGCCAGUGUGAUGGAAUUCUAAUAUCAGCGUUUCCUUCACAUGUUUGCGCACACCACCACAGAUGGUUCGACACUGACUGAAUCCACUUUUGAAGGGAAGCAUGUUUUUUUGCUUUUUUGCUCUGAUGUUAUUUGGAUGUGGCGAUCUGUGGUCAAUGAUCUAAUUUGG